UACGUAGGUGGCGAGCGUUGUCCGGAAUUACUGGGUGUAAAGCGCGUGUAGGCGGGAGGCCAAGUCUGCUGUGAAAUCGCCCGGCUCAACUGGGCGGGGUCGGUGGAAACUGGUCACCUGGAGGACGGUAGAGGCGAGUGGAAUUCCCGGUGUAGUGGUGAAAUGCGUAGAGAUCGGGAGGAACACCAGUGGCGAAGGCGGCUCGCUGGGCCGGCCCUGACGCUGAGACGCGAAGGCGUGGGGAGCGAACAGG
rnacentral:rRNA from 1 species